UGAGAGAUAGGUGGCGAUAAUGAAUUUAUAAGUCUACGAUCCACUAUAAAUCAUGACGACGUUGACGAUGCCUCACGCGCCUGCUGCUGAGAACGUGCUCAGGAGAUUCUAACAGUUCGGACACUGCAUGAAUCAGAGCCACGAUUCUCAUUCACAUCCAUUGUAAGACUGACAGACUGCAACGAUUUGUGUUAAACUGAAGAAACAAAGUCACCUACAUCUCGUGUGCCCUGGGGGCUGUAUUUCAGAUCAUCACCAGCAGGGAGCGUCUAUCACCACUUUACGGAAUUACUGUGGCUUCCUACAACAUUCCUCAAUCACAAGCUGCUGUGCCGUGGCUGCUUACCUCUCCACACAAUCAGAGAGACGUGAACAGUGGUUUGAAGCUGGUGCAUCGUGUCCUCCGACAGCAUACAAGAAACUGUUAUAUGUGGCCACGCCCACUCCUCCCCUCCUCUUUGACAUGGGUGCACACAUACUCCAUUUAUUAGUGUGGGGAUCAAAACAUUCCAUCGAUCGCAGACAGGAGCUUCCAUCACGACCACCGACAGCAAACAACCUGUAAAUACCAAAAACAUUUACUCUAAAAUAUUUCAUAAUAAAAUGAGAUUUUUGAAAAGUUGGCUGUAUACACCAGGGCAAUUUUGAUGAUUAAAGUGGGCAUGUGCCUUCGCUGAACUGACCAUAAAACAUUAUUUUCAGCUAAAGUAACAAAAGUUUAUAAUACAAUUUCUGCAGAUUAUGUUGGUAAUUUAAAAUAUGAUGUAGAAACAUUUUAUUAAACAACAUUUAUUUGAGAUAAUUAAAGAAACUGUUUUCCCAUUGGAAUA